rnacentral:antisense_RNA from 1 species
CUUGACCGUGCCGAGCCACAACGGCUGGUCCACCGGCCGAUCCUGCCCGUAGGCCGCCAACAACGCCUGCGCCUC